rnacentral:tRNA from 1 species
GCCUUCUUAGCUCAGUGGUAGAGCGUUGGUCUCGUAUUCAUCUAAAGUCAACCAAAGGCCGAGAGUUCAAUCCUCUCAGGAGGCA